CGCGUAUGCAAUCUACCUCUAACAGGGGGAAAGUCACUGGAAACGGUGAAUAAUCCCGCAUAAGGAUCUUAAGUAGCAUUACUAAAGAUUUAAAGUUCAAGCGGUUAGAGAUGAGCGUGCGUUCUAUUAGCUAGAUGGUGAGGUAACGGCUUACCAUGGCAACGAUAGAUAGGGGGCGUGAGAGCGUGAUCCCCCACACGGGUACUGAGACACGGACCCGACUCCUACGGGAGGCAGCAGUAAGGAAUAUUGGUCAAUGGAGGAAACUCUGAACCAGCCAUGCCGCGUGCGGGAAGAAGG
rnacentral:rRNA from 1 species